GCCGGCGUGGUGGCUGGCCCGCAACGCGUCGUCGUAGUCGGUGCUGGUGGCCGCCGCCGCCAGCGCCGGGUCCAGCCCCGCGUCGGCC
rnacentral:tRNA from 1 species